rnacentral:rRNA from 1 species
GAUGAACGCUGGCGGCGUGCCUAAUACAUGCAAGUCGAGCGAACGGACGAGAAGCUUGCUUCUCUGAUGUUAGCGGCGGACGGGUGAGUAACACGUGUAUAACCUACCUAUAAGACUGGGAUAACUUCGGGAAACCGGAGCUAAUACCGGAUGAUAUUUUGAACCGCAUGGUUCAAAAGUGAAAGACGGUCUUUCUGUCACUUCUAGAUGGAUCCGCGCUGCAUUAGCUAGUUGGUAAGGUAACGGCUUACCAAGGCAACGAUGCAUAGCCGACCUGAGAGGGGGAUCGGCCACACUGGAACUGAGACACGGUCCAGACUCCUACGGGAGGCAGCAGUAGGGAAUCUUCCGCAAUGGGCGAAAGCCUGACGGAGCAACGCCGCGUGAGUGAUGAAGGUCUUCGGAUCGUAAAACUCUGUUAUUAGGGAAGAACAUAUGUGUAAGUAACUGUGCACAUCUUGACGGUACCUAAUCAGAAAGCCACGGCUAACUACGUG